ACCUAAUUGGGGGUAAAAGAAACUUGCUGGCGAAGUCGGUUCGGCAAUCCGACGAGCCUACGCGAAGAUAUUGCCAAAAGAGCAUUUUCGACUACAAUAGUCACGAGCGCGGGUCGCGGCUCUUGGAAAAGUACUCGAAGCGAAUUUCUCCCAUUCCGGCAUCAAAGAAAGGUUACACGCGAGCGGCGCGGCGGCGCGAGGACAGGGCGUAGCUUCGUAGAUAGCGCCCCACCACUGAGACUGAGAUAGCAACACCCUGAAGAGGUCAAGUUCAGAGUUCAAAUGGAAAGAAACAAAAUUGUAGUAAUUUGUAUAAGUUUCAUAUUAACUUAAAAGCAUAUGUGGUUAUGUAAAUGUAAAAUAUUGUAAAUGUAAAAGAAUCUCUGAGA